rnacentral:rRNA from 1 species
AGCAGGCGCGCAAAUUACCCAAUCCCGACACGGGGAGGUAGUGACAAUAAAUAACAAUACGGGGUUCUUUAGGAUCUCGUAAUUGGAAUGAGUACAAUUUAAAUCUCUUAACGAGGAACAAUUGGAGGGCAAGUCUGGUGCCAGCAGCCGCGGUAAUUCCAGCUCCAAUAGCGUAUAUUAAAGUUGUUGCAGUUAAAAAGCUCGUAGUUGAAUUUCGGGGUUAGUAGGUUGGUCAUGCCUCUGGUACGUACUGGUCUCACUGAUUCCUCCUUCCUUAUGAACCGUAAUGCCAUUAAUUUGGUGUUGCGGGGAAUUUGGACUGUUACUUUGAAAAAAUUAGAGUGUUUAAAGCAAGCUAACGCUUGAAUACAUUAGCAUGGAAUAAUGAAAUAGGACGUUCGAUCUUAUUUUGUUGGUUUCUAGGAUUGACGUAAUGAUUAAUAGGGAUAGUUGGGGGCAUUAGUAUUCAAUUGUCAGAGGUGAAAUUCUUGGAUUUAUUGAAGACUAACUACUGCGAAAGCAUUUGCCAAGGAUGUUUUCAUUAAUCAAGAACGAAAGUUAGGGGAUCGAAGACGAUCAGAUACCGUCGUAGUCUUAACCAUAAACUAUGCCGACUAGGGAUCGGAUGAUGUUAAUUUUUUAAUGACUCAUUCGGCGCCUUACGGGAAACCAAAGUGUUUGGGUUCA